rnacentral:rRNA from 1 species
AGUGAACGCUGGCGGUAGGCCUAACACAUGCAAGUCGAACGGCAGCACAGUAAGAGCUUGCUCUUACGGGUGCCGAGUGGCGGACGGGUGAGGAAUACAUCGGCAUCUACUUUUUCGUGGGGGAUAACGUAGGGAAACUUACGCUAAUACCGCAUACGACCUACGGGUGAAAGCAGGGGAUCUUCGGACCUUGCGCGAUUGAAUGAGCCGAUGUCGGAUUAGCUAGUUGGCGGGGUAAAGUCCCACCAAGGCGACGAUCCGUAGCUGGUCUGAGAGGAUGAUCAGCCACACUGGAACUGAGACACGGUCCAGACUCCUACGGGAGGCAGCAGUGGGGAAUAUUGGACAAUGGGCGAAAGCCUGAUCCAGCAAUACCGCGUGGGUGAAGAAGGCCUUCGGGUUGUAAAGCCCUGUUGUUGGGAAAGAAAAGCAGCAGGUUAAUACCCCGAUGUUCUGACGGUACCCAAAGAAUAAGCACCGGCUAACUUCGUG